GAGUUUGAUCCUGGCUCAGAUUGAACGCUGGCGGCAUGCCUUACACAUGCAAGUCGAACGGCAGCACGGGAGCUUGCUCCUGGUGGCGAGUGGCGAACGGGUGAGUAAUGCAUCGGAACGUAUCCUGGAGUGGGGGAUAACGUAGCGAAAGUUACGCUAAUACCGCAUAUUCUGUGAGCAGGAAAGCGGGGGACCUUCGGGCCUCGCGCUCUUGGAGCGGCCGAUGUCGGAUUAGCUAGUUGGUGAGGUAAAGGCCCACCAAGGCGACGAUCCGUAGCAGGUCUGAGAGGAUGAUCUGCCACACUGGAACUGAGACACGGUCCAGACUCCUACGGGAGGCAGCAGUGGGGAAUUUUGGACAAUGGGGGCAACCCUGAUCCAGCCAUGCCGCGUGAGUGAAGAAGGCC
rnacentral:rRNA from 1 species